AUUGAACGCUGGCGGCAUGCCUUACACAUGCAAGUCGAACGGCAGCACGGGAGCAAUCCUGGUGGCGAGUGGCGAACGGGUGAGUAAAGCAUCGGAACGUGCCCAGUCGUGGGGGAUAACGUAGCGAAAGCUACGCUAAUACCGCAUACGAUCUGUGGAUGAAAGAGGGGGACCGUAAGGCCUCGCGCGAUUGGAGCGGCCGAUGUCAGAUUAGGUAGUUGGUGAGGUAAAGGCUCACCAAGCCGACGAUCUGUAGCUGGUCUGAGAGGCCGACCAGCCACACUGGGACUGAGACACGGCCCAGACUCCUACGGGAGGCAGCAGUGGGGAAUUUUGGACAAUGGGCGCAAGCCUGAUCCAGCAAUGCCGCGUGCAGGAUGAAGGCCUUCGGGUUGUAAACUGCUUUUGUACGGAGCGAAACGGCUUCCACUAAUACUGGGAGCUAAUGACGGUACCGUAAGAAUAAGCACCGGCUAACUACGUGCCAGCCGCCGCAGUAAAAC
rnacentral:rRNA from 1 species